CUAAAAUAUGGCAGCAUAACUAUUACAUCAUCACAUAUGUAAGUAAACGUGUGAUAAAAACGCAGAUCAUUUUGCCCCAAUAAUAUCCUUACAGACAGAGAAGGUUGUAGCCUUCUGCUACUGUAAUAUCCUUACAGCCAGAGAAGGUUGUAGCCUUCUGCUACUGUAAUAUCCUUACAGACAGAGAAGGUUGUAGCCUUCUGCUACUGUAAUAUCCUUACAGACAGAGAAGGUUGUAGCCUUCUGCUACUGUAAUAUCCUUACAGACAGAGAAGGUUGUAGCCUUCUACUACUGUAAUAUCCUUACAGACAGAAGGUUGUAGCCUUCUGCUACUGUAAUAUCCUUAGACAGAGAAGGUUGUAAAAAAUGGUCCAGCCCAUCUGGCAUUGGCCAGAAUUACCAGGUGGCGAAUUCACCCCUGGUUUCUAUCCUUUAUGUGUCAUUUCAUACUCUUUCAGGUUCCCUAACUGACUAAAAGUCUCUCCGCACUGGGAGCCUUCUCCUCCUG